rnacentral:lncRNA from 1 species
GAUACUAAAUAUGAGCAAGGAGAUGUGCCAACAGUGAUGGAUGUUGGAAACAAUCUUGAGCUAGCAAAUAGCAUGAGGGAAUUGAAAUGUUUGAAAGAUGGGUUAUAUGGGAUGAAGAAAGAAAAAAAAGAUGAUCCUCUUGUGCUGGAAGAUAGAAGAGCACAUUGGAUAAAUGCAGCUAUUUUAAAUUCCAUCCUAGAGGCGUGAUCAAGGCAGACGAGUCCUCAGUGUUUUGCAGAAAUCCUAUAAGGGCUUUGAACACUUGGAUGGCCAGAGAAUCAUUCAACAUAAAAUAUAAGCAACUACCAUAUAUACUGAAGGCU